GGCACUAAGCUCCAAACCAAAACCCCCCAAAUUGUUCAUCGCUUUCUAGAACUCUCUACGUCUUCCCCUUAAACCUCUCGUAAGGGUUUAAUUUCAUUCUGGAAUUCGCCUCUUCCACCAACUCUUAUCUUUUCACAGCGCUUCAUGGCUCCAGUUAUCAGCAGAAGUUUAUCCACUGUUGCUCUUUCUUCACUUCCUUCCUCUUUUUCUUACCCUCUACCUACCAGUGGUACGCGCUUGAGCUUGAGAAGCGCUUUUCUGCCCCGAAAUGGGCUCAGAAACGGGUUUUGUUGUGGUGGGUUGAAGUGGAAGAUUGAGAAGAAGGUCAAUCGGAUUGCGGUCAGGUGCGAGGCGGCCGUCGCCGAGAAAGAAGCGGCUGAGACUCCCGGUGAGAAGUUUGAGUACCAAGCUGAGGUUAGUCGCCUCCUGGAUUUGAUUGUUCACAGUCUAUACAGCCACAAGGAGGUGUUUCUUCGAGAGUUAGUGAGUAACGCGAGUGAUGCUUUAGACAAGCUAAGAUUUUUGAGCGUGACUGAACCCUCUCUGCUUGGAGAAGCUGGUGACCUUGAAAUUCGUAUCAAACCUGAUGCCGACAGUGGUACUAUCACCAUAACAGAUACUGGUAUUGGGAUGACUAAAGAAGAGCUCAUUGACUGUCUCGGAACUAUAGCUCAGAGUGGCACUUCAAGAUUCUUGAAGGCCCUGAAGGAAAACAAGGAUGCUGGAGCAGACAAUAGCUUGAUUGGUCAAUUUGGUGUUGGAUUCUAUUCGGCCUUUCUUGUCGCUGAAAAGGUUGUUGUAUCCACCAAGAGCCCAAAAUCAGAUAAACAAUAUGUUUGGGAAGCAGUAGCAGUAGCUGAUAGUAGUUCAUAUGUUAUUAGGGAAGAAACAGAUCCUGAAAAGCUUCUACCGCGGGGAACACAGAUCACACUCUACUUAAGGGAAGAUGACAAGUAUGAAUUUUCUGAUCCUACCAGAAUUCAGGGUUUGGUAAAAAAUUAUUCACAGUUCGUUUCCUUCCCCAUCUUCACAUGGCAAGAGAAGUCAAAAACUGUUGAGGUGGAAGAAGAAGAAGAACUCAAAGAAGGAGAAGAACCAAAACCAGAUGGCAAGAAGAAAAAGAAGACAGUAACCGAGAAGUAUUGGGACUGGGAAUUGGCUAAUGAAACAAAGCCAAUCUGGAUGCGGAAUGCAAAAGAGGUUGAGAAGGAUGAGUACAAUGAAUUCUAUAAGAAGACAUUUAAUGAAUUUUUAGAGCCACUCGCAUAUUCUCACUUCACCACUGAGGGCGAAGUGGAGUUCAGGAGUGUUCUUUAUAUUCCUGGAAUGGCACCUAUGAAUAAUGAGGAUGUUGUGAAUCCUAAAACAAAGAAUAUUCGUCUGUAUGUUAAGCGUGUCUUCAUCUCCGAUGAUUUUGAUGGUGAACUGUUUCCACGAUAUUUGAGCUUUGUGAAAGGUGUGGUAGAUUCCGAUGACCUCCCCCUAAAUGUUUCUCGAGAAAUUCUCCAAGAAAGCCGAAUCGUGAGAAUUAUGAGGAAGAGACUUGUCAGAAAAACAUUUGACAUGAUUCAAGACAUCUCUGAAAGUGAAAAUAAAGAGGAUUACAAGAAAUUCUGGGAGAAUUUUGGCCGGUUCUUAAAAUUAGGAUGCAUUGAGGACACUGGAAAUCACAAGCGCAUAACACCAUUAUUGCGGUUUUACACCUCCAAAAGUGAAGAGGAGCUGAAGAGCUUAGAUGAUUAUGUCGAGAACAUGGGUGAGAAUCAGAAGGCAAUUUACUAUUUGGCGACUGACAGCCUAAAGAGUGCCAAGAGUGCUCCAUUCUUGGAGAAAUUGCUUCAAAAAGAUAUUGAGGUUCUUUACUUGAUCGAACCCAUCGAUGAAGUUGCAAUCCAGAACUUGCAGACAUACAAAGAGAAGAAAUUUGUUGAUAUUAGCAAGGAAGAUUUAGAGCUGGGCGACGAAGAUGAAGUCCAAGAAAGAGAAACUAAGCAAGAUUACAACCUCCUCUGUGACUGGAUUAAGCAACAACUAGGUGACAAGGUAGCAAAAGUCCAAGUCUCUAAGCGCUUGAGUUCUUCUCCGUGUGUCCUAGUUUCCGGCAAGUUUGGAUGGUCUGCAAAUAUGGAAAGGCUAAUGAAGGCACAGGCUCUCGGAGAUACUUCGAGUUUGGAGUUUAUGAGGGGAAGAAGAAUUUUGGAGAUUAAUCCAGACCAUCCGAUCGUCAAGGAUCUAAAUGCCGCUUGCAAAAAUUCACCGGAUAGCAGUGAUGCUACUAGAGCCGUUGAUCUUUUAUACGAGACAGCAUUGAUAUCCAGUGGAUUCUCUCCUGAUAGUCCAGCUGAAUUAGGAAACAAGAUAUAUGAGAUGAUGGCAAUGGCACUUGGAGGCAGAUGGGGUAGAUUAGAAGACAACGUCGAAGAUGAUGCUUCUGCUGCUGCUGCUGAAUCCGAAAGUGCCGAGGCACCGGAAGUGCAAGUGAUCGAACCCUCGGAAGUGAGGGCAGAGGAUGAUCCAUGGCAGGAUUAGGAUGAAAUUAACCUUGGCUAGAUGUUAGAAGCCAGCCUUUUGACACUGCUUUGAAAGAAACAAGAUAUUGGUGGUGUUUGGCAGAUCAUUCAACAAGUUUUGAUUCAUAAAUGCAUCGAUUUCGAUGAUUAAAUCUCGAUCCAGUGGGUAUAAAAAUGCAAAAAGGUACACAAUUCUUGAGAAUAAUGCAAAUGAAAUCUCUCACAGUUUCAAA